rnacentral:lncRNA from 1 species
CGAGUCGACUCGAAACCUAAUGGCUAGUUGUGCAAAAAUUCAAAAAUAAUUUAUAGUAGCUAGUUUUUAUCUCUAAUGACUAGUUUAGCUCUUUCAAUGGCCAAAAUUUUUUUUCUAACUAAUUUUAAGUAUAUUAAAAGCUAGAGAAUCAAUUGAGAAAGUAGCUAAGUGGAUUGAAAAGAAAAAUUUAUCAAAUUAAGGGAGG